AAUUUUUUUCCUCAAUAUAUAUGGCUAUUUAUAUAUAUAUAUAUAUAUAUAUAUAUAUAAACGUCUAGGUUAAAUAUGAAAAUGUUAUAUGGAAAACGCUUAAGGUUAUACGAUAUUCAAAAUAUUUGUAGUUUUUCUGAUCGAACGUAUAUAAAAGUUUCCCCGUUCACUCAAUAACAAUAUUAUUAAUUCUAAAGUUUCUAUUUAAAAUUUGAAUUUCUUAGUUUAAACUAGCAGCUUAAUAUCUCUAUUCUUAUUAUAUUGAUAUUUCUUUCUUCCUUUUUUUUUUUUUUUUGUUCCUCGAUCAUAUCCAAACGUUGAACGUUCGUCGUGAAUAUAACAGGAUUCGCCAUAUGCCGGCGAAUCCAUUUGAUUGUUUCCAAGCGCGUUCCUUCGGUCUCCUUCGUAAUCGUUCGUUAACGAUCGGAUUUCAUUCCUGGUAUCGUUUCAAAGGUAGAUCGAUAUCGGUUCUCAUUCACAACUUCAUAACCUCGAAUAGGUCGAUAUGUAAAUAUAAAAAUUUUGUUUUUCCUAUUCUUUUUUAUUUUAUAUAUAUAAAUAUAUAUAUAUAUAUAUAUGUGUGUGUAUAUAUUAAAUGAAAAAUUCAGAUCAACUAUUCACGUACGCAAACACACCUAGAUAAAAAUGUUACUUUUUUGUGUUACGGAUUGGAUCUGAUCGAUCCGAUAUCAAUUGGGGUUAGUUUAAUCGAUUUGUUAUUCGAUUAACGCUCCUUGUAAAUCGAUUCCUCGAACUAAUCGAUUAUCGAUGGUUACAAAAGAACAAUUCGUCUAAUAUCCGUUGCGGUUGCUCGCUCCCGACGAUCGAGGAAGUAACGAGAGUGGGUGCAGCCCUAGUUACGUAAGAAGGCUUUACCAAAGAUGCCUCGGCAAUGCACAGUGAUUCUCAAAUAAUAUAUGACUCUCUCCUUCAUUAGUAUAUUAGAUGUAUUAGUUGAAACAAUGAAUGUUGAUUGUUUCAUUUCUUCGUUGUCCACAAAAAAAUUACAGUGAUUUAUAACAGAUGUCAUAAUUUUGUUUUCUUUUUUUUUGUUUUUCUUUUUUUUUGUUUUUUACUUUUUAAAAGACCAAUCAGCUAUUUCGAUAGAGAAAAAAAAUGGCCACUAGGAUGUUAGUAAAAGAAUUUAAAUUUCUUAUGUCUUCUAAAAAAAAAAUUGCCAGUGAUUUAUACGUUAUUUAUUUAUUUAUUUAUAUAUAUUUUUUUUUAUAAAGAACCACUGUUACGACCAAUCAACAAUCUCGAUAACAAACAAAACAAUAACGAAUAAGAGAAGCUUCCUCGUUGGCCAGACGACCGGAGAUGAGCGUUCGUUUGAGCGAUCCGCAUAUACAUUCUAACUUUGUUAAUUCAAAACGGAAAUUGAUAGUUGCCAGACUCAUGUAACGGAACAAGUAUUUACAAGUAUGCGUAUAUGAAUAA